UUCUAAAGGGUGAAACGGAAAGUAGCUAAACCCUUAUUGUAAACAGUUUAAACCCAAGCAUUGGACCAAAGAUUUUUAAAGUAUAUACAAAAGCCCACCAAAGCCCAAAACCCAUUAGAACCCAUUGAGUAUUGAAGUUUAAGCCUCUUAUAAAAAUAUAGCAAAGGCCCAAAACCCAUUGAAGCCUAAAACCCAUUAAAGCCUAUCAAAUAUUUAAGGCUUAAGCCUCAAGAGCCUCGAGGCUGUAAGCCUUAACAGGAUGAAGCAAAAGCCUCAAUUACCCCAUACUAAAGCAAUAGCCUCAAUUACCCCAUACUAAAGCAAUAGCCUCAAUUACCCCAUACUAAAGCAAUAGCCUCGGGGUUAAUUUUCAACACCUUGCCUUGAGACCAGCCUCUUAAAAACAUUGGUGAUAUUAAUGUCAAUAAAUGCAUUAAAAUGGAAGCACCUAAGAAAGAGAAAUAACAGUUUACUAUUUAGGUAUUUUCAACAAUGAAUAUAGCUGAUAUUUUGAGUAUAAACACCUCUUCCCCACAACCAACCAAAGAAAGAAAGAAAAGAAAUCUUAAAAUGCAAGAUGUGCACAUUAGAUUGUCAUAAUUUUCCAACAACUUCAAUUUUCACUAAACUUCCAAAAUUUGAGUUUCUUAAUUGUGAACUGAAUGCGAAAUUACAACAUUCUAAAAAUUGGAUGAGUUAAACCUUAUUCUAUACCACAAAGAAAUCUAAAAAUUUUGUCAAUUUCAUUUAUUUAAAUUCCAAUCAAAAGCCAAAAAGAUAAUUUGAAAUCAACAAGUAGAGUCAUGAUGAACGCAUCCAAAACAACCCAUAGGUGUUAAUAAAGUUCACCAAUAAUUCACGUCCUAGAGAACAUGGGAUAUUAGCGUGUAUGGACAAUUUUCAAAGAAUGACACAUCAAGUCCCUAAACUGGAAGUCAAGAAAUAAAAUGAAAUUUCAAUGAAAUUUCAUUGAAAUAUUCAAAUUCAGGCCUAAAUUGACUCAACAUCGGGAACGCUACAAAUGCCAAAAUCAUUCAAAGUGAAAAACCAAAAAAAAAAAGUCACGAACUUUCAACUUUUAUUAAACUUAAUGUUAACCCCAAAUAAAAUAUGUGGCCCUGUUAUGUAUUUUUUGGACAAUUUUGAAGGAAAUGAAUACGUUAGCGUUUGAUAAUGCGGAACUGUUGGUCCAAAUGAUGAAAAAUUCUUUUGUUUAUAAUUUGUAGUCUUGGUUUAGGGUGCAUGGAGAUAUGGGCCUUAUUUCUCUUGUUAGCUUUAUUGAUUGAUUUCGUUCUAAGUGAGGUGAGGGCAGGUGAUGUUUUUUGUUUCUCUCCCUCUCCCUUUUGGGUGAGCCUUUAGAAGGCUGGUUUAUAAACCCGGAUGCUGUUUUAGCAUUUCCUUUCUUUAUGUAUACACUCUCUUACUUAUCAAAAAAAAUAUAUGUGCCAACUGCCAAGAAUCAUUGUCUACAUUAAAUUAUGAUAUGUUAAGCUACUCCACUCUGUCCCCAAUUCCACCAUUAUAGAAGAGGGGUAAUAAUUUUUUUCCUUAACAGAACAAAUUAUUCCAUAUGAUGGAAGCACUAAAAACAAAGAACAAGAAUAGAUGUUCUUCAGGCAUUUCUCCCCUCCUCUGUCUAAGAUUUAAACCAAGAAGAGCAUCAGUUUUGUAUAGCCGGUGCAUUAGAGUGGAUGCAUCAGAUGACCGAGACCCACCUCAGUUUUCACGCCAACAUACCAAAGGCCAGAUGCAGUAAUUCACUAUGGCUAGCCAAACCCCUCUUCACCCAGCCCCCUAUUUGAGUUUCGUAGUCCUAAUUUUCCCCAUGUAACCCUUUAGUUUGAGUUUUAACCUCAAACAAUAGCAGGGAAAGAAAAGGAAAAUGCUGAAAAUAGCUUGAGAAAGUAACUCAGUUUUCUUCGGAAUUUGCAUCAUGUCCCUUUCCUUUCCCUGAUCCUGACCAAGAUCCAGAGAGGUCUCUGGGAUGGCAUAUCUCUAAACCUUCCUUCACACAAUUCAGCUCUAGUAAUCCACAAUCAUGGCUCCCUGCUUAGUCCAGUCUAACAAAUAAACCCCAAAACCCAUUUAUCAAAAACACACAAAGGAAAAAGCCCGUCGCCAAACGCCAAACCUAACCCAAGAGCUGAAUUACCCCCCAAAAACACUUCAAUAUACCGAAGAAAACCCAAAUCACGAAACAAACCAAACAUGGUAAAGGAUCCCAAGAACCAAAGUCAAACAGCUGUUUCUUCGACAAAGUCAAUUGCAACACCCAUACAAACCCAAACAACGAGCAGAAACACAAGAAUUCACCCCCAAAAAGAAAAUAAAAAGAAAAGAAAAACACUUGCACAAGCAACAGUCGGAAACAAACAACAACCGAAGUGAAUCAUUAAAAAAAAAAAAGUCUCUAAAUGAACUGAACAAAACAAAGAACAAAUACAGAGAGAAGGAGAGAGGGAUGAACCAAGAAACAUGGAAACUGAUAGAGAGCUGAGAUAUGAUAAAAAGGAAAGAAUCUGUGAAGAAUCUCUCCACACCUGUAGCAACAACAGCCCCAAGCCCCUUUCUCUCUCUCUCUCUCUCUUUCUCCCGGAGGAGCGAAAAAGGGUGAAAAUAUGACCCCCCUAACUCUACUUUAAAAGAAACUUGGAGGAAAAAAGGAGAAAAAAAAUUUCAGGGGAAAGCGUCGUGUCGCGUCCACGUCUCGAAGAUCCCAUGGACGGCCCCGAUAUCAUCUCCGCCGUUGGGUUUGACUGCAGCCAAUACUCUAUGGACACGUGGUGAUCAUUUAAUCCACGUCAUCACCUCCAUGUGCGCGAGGCGGCAGAGCCCGUAUUAUGUUCCCACUCUGCGACAGCUUCUAUUGGUGGUUUGACUUGUUGUGGGUCCCACAAUUUAUUAUUUGUUUUUUCAAAGGAUAAAUAAACCAGUGGAUAUAUAAUCACGUCAAAUUCCGCAACCUUCCAAUUCACUAGAUUAAUAUAACUCAAAUUUUCCAAGGUAGAAAAUAUUUAUAAUUUGUAUGAUAAAUUAAUAUAGAAAUAAAAAUAAUAUAAAGAAAUUAUUUUUUUAAAAUAUAAAAAAAUAUUUAAAAAUUAAAAUUAGAUAGGAGUUAAAAAAAUAAAAUUCAACCCUAUAUUUCAUUAAUUAUUAUUAUUUUUUCGCUUUCAAUUUCUCUUUUAUUUUUAUGGGAAAAAAAAUAAAGAAAGAGUUAUAAAGUGAAGGGAAUGAUAUGCUGCAAAUGUUUCAAACUUAAUUAAUUAAUUAAUUAUUAUAUGAUAUGAGCGUGAAUUUGGUGUCAGAGACAGGUGGAAAAGUCCGUACACGUCACCUCCACGUGAGGGCAAUAAGGAGGCGGCAGAGCCAACCUAUGGUGGACUCUGUCUCAAGUUCUCAACCUCUAUUUGUGGUUUGACUUCUUGUAGGUCCCACACGCGCUUUUAAGUCUUUCCUUUUCUUUUUCUUUUUUUCUUUUUUCUUUUUUCUUUUUCCUAGGUAGUACCGCAGUAGCACAUAAAUUUUGGUAUCCGCCACUAUUCUUAUAUUUUAUCGUUGACAUUAGAUGACGGCUACACCAUAUAGUUGUGGUCAACUCUUUUCCGCCAAAAUUCCCAUUGAGUACCACCCUAUUCAAGGAAUAAAUAUCAAUAAAAAAAAUUCGUAAAAAGGAAAAUAUUUCAAAAAUCGAUAAAACUAACAUUUUCUUCAAGAAAGGAACAACAGGCAAAAACAAAUGCUAAUACCCCAUAAGUUGAGAAGCAAAAGGAGGAAAGAAGGGGUUCACAUUUAAUUAGCUAGUCGGUGAGACAAUAGAUUAUCAAAGCAACGAUCAGUAUCGGAUGUGAGAGGAUGAUAAACCAUACUAAGACUAAAGCAAUACCUAAAACCACACUAAGACUAAAGCAAUGCCUAAACUCCUAUGGGAGACAACAAUGGAAAAUUUUCCGCAAUGGGUAAAAGCCUAAUGAAGUAAUGUUAUAUGAAGAUAGAAGGUCCACAGUGAACUUUUUUUCCCAAAAAAGAAGCAAUAAUAGUAUAUAGGGAUUAAGUAUCGGUUAAAUCUAUGACAACAACCGCAGUAAUACAAAUAAUGUAAGCGUUAUCUAGAAUGAUUAGGCGUAAUAUUGGAUGAAACUUAAUGAAGUAAUAACUAAUCGAUAAUAUACAAAUUAACUAUUUUAUUUUGUAAGGAAACAAUAUAUAAUGAUAAAAUUAAAGAUAUCAAUUGAUGUUAUGACUUGCAAAUAUUAAUAUUAAGGUAAAAAAAAUUAUUUUAUUGAAUUUUAAUACUUGAAAAUAGGUUACAUUACAUUUAGCAUCAAAUUGAUGAUUAGUGUGGCUAUAAUGACUUGAGAAUAAAGAAACACUAAUUUGAUUUAAAUAAUGUUGCACCAUGAGAUAAAGUUUAUAUAAUGAGAAAAUAAAGAUUAAUCUUAAUAGAGAAAAACACCCAUGAGGGGGAGAGUGAAUUGGGGUUUAAAAAAUUAUUUUUCAAACAUAAUAAAUUUAAGCACAAUAAUCAAAUUUUAUAGUGGUUCGAUACUUCCUUACCUAUGUUCAUUCUCUUCAAGCUCCUAACUAAGUGAAAGUUUUACUAUACUUGAAGUUUCAACCAAGUUUCUAAUCACCUUUGCACUUGGAUUUCGGUUCCAAUGGGCUCUUACACAAUUUCUUUCAAGUCUUUACUCACUAGAAGAUUCUAACACUCAAAUAACAAGUUUGAAACUCUCAACCUAACUCAAUAAGGACUUAAAUAAAUUUAAAUGCUAGGAAGAAUCACAAGGUGUGUACUAAAGAAUAUGCAAAUGGAAAUUUAAUGCAUCAAGAAAAGAAUGAGAGCUUUUAAGGCAAAAAUAAGUAGGUAAACAAAUAAAUGCAAGUGUUUUCUUCCUCAUAAAUGAAAUAGAGCUCUCAAUUUAUAAGUUUAUAGCCCCAAGAGCCAAAAUGCCAAAAAGACAACCUCGAUUGGUCGAGCUUGAGGUCAAUUGGCUCACUAGCCAUUGGGCAUUAAAUGCAUGACAAGUGACCGUUAAGCCUUAACCGGUCUUUGAUCGGACCUCAACUGGGAAAGAAAGGCUAUUGGAAGAGAGAAGAUUUUUGCAUCUCUUAACUAGACCUCAAUUGGGAAGGAUCAAUUGAUCGAUCGGUGACUUAACCGAUUGAGUUGGUUCACUAGUGUCUCGACCGAUUUACCAUUUUUUGCCCGAAAACCUAUAUUUUUAUGGUUUCUUUGCUUUUAACAUUUAGACAAGGUCUUUAGGUAAAUUAAUAUGUCAGUUUUGAAAUAAUUUGCCUAAUGUUCAUUUGAUAAAACUCGGGUUUAGAUGGAAAUAUUACUUUAAUGCAUAAACCAAGUUUUUAAAGAUGCAUGAAAAACUCUCAUUUUGUAUAACUUUUGAUAAAUUUCCAAAUUAACGCCUGAAAUUCUGUAUAAUUUAAACAAAUUAGCAACUUAACCAUGGGUUGUUAUCAUCAAAACAAGAUUAGGAGAAUCAUUGGGCUAACAUAUAAUAUUAGAUGUAAGUGGUGAAGCCAUAGAUUUUAUUAAGGUAAGAUUGAAAUAUGUACAAUCAUCUAUAUAAAAACUUAGAUUUUACAAUAAUAAUCCAAACCUUUUAAAAAAAAAAAAUAAAAAUAAAUUAGAAACUAGUGAGAACUAUGACUAUAAAUUUUUCAAAGAUUCUAGUAAUUCUUGUAGCAAAAAAAAAAAAAAAAAACCUUAAAAGUUUUUAAGGAAUUUAAUAUUUUUCUAAUAAAUUUAUUUUUUUUUUCAAAUAAAUAAAGUUCUAUUUAGAAAAUGUUUUUGAAAACAAUUUUUUAAAUUUGCUCUCUUAAAAUUUGUAGAACAAAGUUUGUUUCACAUUCUAAAAUAUUUGUAAUCUAUUUUCUAUAUUUUUAAAUAUGUUUAAAAAUAACUUUUAUAUAUAAUACUUUAUCUUUAUUUUUAAUCAUUCUACGUAUUUGUAUAAUUAUUUUUUAAGAAAACUCUAACCAGUGAAAACAAUAAAAAAUAACUAAAAGAUGUUCUUUGAAACAUCUUACUUCCAAAAACUAUUUAAUUUUUUUUACUAAAUAUAAAAUCAACUACAAAUAAUGACAUUUUUUUUCUUUAAAAUUUUAUAUGAUAUGAUAAUAUUAGAAUGACACUAUUAGCAAAAUAAAAUUUUAAAGCUAAAUAUAAAUUUCCAUAAUGUGAAUAAUUAAAUAGCACACAAUCUAAUAUAAUUAUUUAAUUUAUUUCUAAAUUAGACAUUAUUUACUUAAGUCUCAAUUUUUUUUUUUUUUAAAAAAAAAUCAAACUCAAAAUUAAAGAGAGCAUACAAUUUUUUUUAAAAAUUAUUUAAUAAAAUAUCAAAUACAAAAUUACCAAAAAAAAUUUAGUAUUAUCAUAAAAGUUAUAAUAAAAUUAAAAUUUACAUAUGAUGAAAGAAUGAAAAAUAAUUAAGAUAUUGAAUGCAUGACAAAAGUUAAAUUAAAUUUUAAAAAUUCAAAAUAAAAUUUAUCUUUUUGGACUUUCUAUUAAUUUUUAUUAUUUGAAAACAUUAAUUAUAUGUAUGAGAUUUUUUUAGGGGAAAAGAUUUGAGGGGGAGCAUGUGCCCCUCCUUGGCCCUAAUGGGCUCAGACAGUAUUUAUGAAGAUAUUAAACAUAAGUUUCCAUUAGAUUAUGUUUUUUAUACUUAUUUUUAAAAAUUAUUUAAGUAAAAGAAUAAAAAAUAAUUUAUAAAAAUAAGUGUGUUUGAAAAAUUAUUUUUAAAAACAUUUCUAAAAAAAAGCCCUUUUGGAUAAAUUGUUUUUAAAAAAUAAUUUUUCUAUUCUUAUUUUACAAAAACAUUGUAAAUUUAAUUUAUAUAAUAUUAAUUAAACUUAAUUCGAUUCUUAUUGAAAAACGAAAAUAGAUUUUAAUUAGAAAUUAAUUAAAAAUAAAUAUUUUUUUAGUAAAAUAUGAAUAUUAAUAUUAUAAUAAAAAUCAUAAAUUAUAUAUAUAUAUAUAUAUAUAUAUAUAUAUAUAUAUAUAUAUAUAUAUAUUUAUAAAAAAAUAUAAUAUUUUAGUGUAUAUAUAUAUAUGGAUAUUAACAUGUUUGUAAAAGCAUAAUUGAUUUUUUUGUUGAAGAUAAAUUACAAUAAUUUAAAAGUCAUAAUUAUUAAUAAUAUUAUAUUUCAAAUAGAUUUAAAACCAAAUUAAAUUUAACUUUUUUAACAUGUAAAUGAGUUAGAGUUUUUCAUUAUAUGUACAUAUUUAGUAAUCAAUUACACUCACAAUAUUUUAUAAUGUUUUAAUUUCAAUUUCAAUUAAAAUGAUCAAUUUUUUGAAUUUCAUAUUAUUCUUAAAAAUUAAUUAAAAGAUUAUAAAAAAAAUAUAAAUUCUCAAUUAUGUUUUACUUAAUUAAGGAUCUAUUUACCUAAUGAAAAAAAAUCCAUUUGCAAUUAACUCAAUUAAUUUUUAAAAUUUCAAGUUAUUCUUAAAAAUUAGAAAAUUCAUUAAAAAUUUAAUUUUUUUUAAUUAUGUUUUAAUUUAGGAUCUAUUUAACUAAUGAAAAAAAAACCUGAAAAUAUAGUUGUAUAUAGGACAAACAGGAAAGUCAUGAUUCAUAAUAUAUCAAUUCUAGUUUAUUAUUUUUUGAAGUGAUUAUAUCUAUUUUGUGAGUUCUAAAAUAUUUUUAAAAAUUAUUAAACUCAUUAAUAAAUCCAAUACAAGUGUUACUUGAUUUGAUUUUUUUUUUUUCUCUAGUGAGAAAAGUUAUAAAAAUAUAAUUAUAUGUAAAAAAAAAAAAUAAUAAUAGAGCCAUUAUGCACCAAUUUUUGUUGAUAAAUUUGUAGUAUUAAUUGGUGUCACUAUUUGAGUUUAAAAUUAUUUAAAAAAAAUAUUAGACUCAUUAAUGAAUCUAAUGCAUAAGUCUAAUUUGAAUUUUACUUAUCUAGCGAAAAAGAAAAAGAAAAAUAUAGUUUUAUGUAAAAGAGUAAUAAUAGGGUCAUUUCAAACUAAUUUUGUCUAUAAUUUUUUUAUAUUAAUUGGAUCACUAUUUGAGUUUCAAAUUAUUUUUUAAAAUUACUAGACUUGGUAAUAAAUUUAAUGCAUUAAGUCUUGUUUGAUUUUAAGUUUAUUUGCCUAGAGAAAAAAAUUUAUAAAUAUAUUAUUAUAUGUAAAAAAUAAACUAGUUAAGUCAUUCAAAAUGUAUUUUAGUCCAUGACUUUCUAGUGACUUGGAGUUCCAUGAUUUCUAGUAUUAAUUAAUUGGUUUUUGAGUUUUAAAUUAUAUUUAAAAAUAUAAAAAAAUUUAUGUAUAAAGAUAAUUUGAUUUGGAAUUUAUUUGUUAAAUGAAAAUUUUUGGAAAAGUUAAAAGGAAAUUAAAAAAACAUGUAAUUUAAAGAAAAUUUGACAAUUUUCAACAUCGGUAGUUGCUUUUAUGUUUAAUAUUAUUUACUUUUUCUGAUUUUUUAAAUUAUUUUUAAAAUACGAUAAAAAUAAUUUUUAUUUAUUCUUUAAAAAUUAUUCUCUAUUUCAUUUUACUUUCAAAGAUUAAAAAUAGAAAGCGGCUAAAUGAUAUUAUAACUUUUUUAAAACAAAUUUUUACUUUUAAAAAUAAGGAAUUAUUUUUUAAUCACACAAUCAAACAACCUCUAAGUCUCUUGAAUUAUUUUCACUGCUCCUCCAUGAAAAGGAAACUCUUGAGAUUCUUGAAGUGUUUGUUUGAACUUCUCCUCAUGUGUUUAUUUUGGAUAUUAAUAUAACACUUUGUGGAAGAAGAUGAUUAAGUGUCUUAAAAUUAUUAUAAUAAGUUGAUUCUAUUUCAUAUUGCGGACCUUAAACCAAAAUUACUAGAAUAUAAAUGUUAGUGCCAAUAAAUGAUUUACUAGAAAAAGUCCAUAAAUUCAUGAAUACAAAAUUAGAGGAAAGAGACUUCUCAUCAAAUAUGGGCAAUUUUUUUCGGCUUUCGUCUUAAGGCCAUUUGCUCUAAUGCUAAAACAUACUCUUCUAAAUCAUGGUAUUUAUCUUAUGUGUAAUGCAUGAAUUCAGCUUCACUAGUAAAUUGGUUCAAUUGUUAUUAAUUGAGUUUGGUCAUAUUAUCUAGAGAUGCUUUAACAUAUUUUCUUCUUGUCCCUCAUGCUUGGUGGUAGCCCUUUUUAUUGUCGUUGUCCGCCUCUUUUUGUAGGCCUUCUUCUAUUUUAUUCCUUCCCUAGGCAUGCUCAGUGUUAUCUCGUCUUUUCUCUUUCUUAGGGCCUAAGUCUUGUGGAUAGAUGAGCCAUUUUAGCUUGUUCUGAUAGAGGUACCUGUUUUGCCUCAGGUGGGGGUUGUCUAAUUCUGCCUACCCCAGUCUAUUCACUUUUAGUGCCCCCAACCCGCUUCUCUUAGGUCCCUGAUAAGCUUCAUUUUUCACUUUGAUGUUGUUAGCGUGUUGGUUUUUCUUCUCCAGGUGAGUCGUCUCAGGAUAUUUUUUUAUCAAGGUUUUUUUUUUCUUAUUAUCUUUAUUUAUGUAGCUUUUCUCUUACUGCGAUGGCAAAAUGAUAGAAAAUGAUGAAGUGCCUUGGCUCUAUGGAAGAGUUCUGGUUGAAGUUUAACAUUCCACUAUUGGUUAGCUUGAAUUUUUUUUACCCAAAGGAUGUGAACUUAGCAACAGGAAGCUUUUUAGACAAGGAGUUGUUUUUAUCCAGAAGGUAUUUUAAGGCAAGUUUACGGUUGUGCUUUCCCCCAUUGUUCCGUUAUCUACUUAACCAAUUGUACCUUGCCCCAAACUAGUUUUCCAUAAAUACUGUGAGGUUGAUUAUGUCAGUGGUGGUUUUAGAUCAUAUGGGCUUGGAAUUACUAUGGAGGACAUCUUUUAUAUAUACAUGACGAAACAGUCUCAAGUGCCUCACGAAUGAUAUUGAUCUCCUCGUUCUAAGAUAAAUAGCUUUAUAAUUGGAGCUCCUACUACCAAUAAAGAUCUGGAUAGACGAGUUGUGGCGGUUCCCGGAAAAUGGGAGUUUAGCAUGUUAGAGCCAAUUGGUCCCCUAUCGUCUCUUGCUGUCAUGGUUCGAUAAGUUUAUUUCAUCUUUCUAUGCCUUCGUUGAAUUAUAUUUAUGGUGGGUUGGCCUUUAAACGCCGUGAUUUGACUACGAAUUCAUUAUCUUUUCUUGGCAACAGUGGAGGAGGUAGAAGUUCCUAAUUUGGAAGAGUCUCAUUGCGAACAUAUUAGUGAGUGGUUUAAAAUUGAGGGCAUUUUCAGGGACCAAAAGCUUUUGUUGAAGCCAUUGCCAUUUUAUGCAUCAUUCAAUGCUCUUGGGUUGAUUUCCCCUACACUUAUAGUCUUGUUGAUUAAGUUGGAAAGUUAGUCUUUUGUAAUGGUCCGCUCCUAACCAUGUAGAUAUUAUCCGCUUUGGGCCCAAGGGGAUCCUCACGGCUUUAAAACGCGUCUACUUGAUUAAGAGGAACCUCUACAUAUAUAGCGUCAGGAACAUUCUCCCCUAUCCGAUGUGGGACAUCACAAACACCCCCCUAUGUAGACACAACGUCCUCGUUGUGUCCUAUGGGAUUGUGGGGCCAAACAGACAAACACCCCUUACGGAGCCAAACAAACCCCCACACCGGGGUUGGGGAUCGGCUCUGAUACCAUUUGUAAUGACCCGCUCCUAACCAUGUAGAUAUUAUCCUCUUUGGGCCCAAGGGGAUCCUCACGGCUUUAAAACGCGUCUACUUGGUUAAGAGGAACCUCUACAUAUAUAGCGCCAGGAACAUUCUCCCCUAUCCGAUGUGGGACAUCACAAAACCUGAGAAGAAACUAGCCUUACCCCUUCCUUGCCUGAUGAUUGAAUGAUUUAAGAAGAAAAUACAUGAUUUUGCCAAGCUUGCCUCUACGAACAACAAAUCUUAGAAUGUCAACUCCAACAUUAAGGGAUUUGUUAGGUCUUUUCUAGUCUUGAGCUUGCCUAAUCGGGUUCAGGCCAGUUCCAAAGCGACCUUCUUUUCUUUUGGUACACUAAAGGUAGGUUGCUAAGAUCCUUCUCACAUAUUGACUUGACAGGAGAUAGCAACGAGUCGUCGAGCUCUAAAGAACUUAAGAUCUCCAAGUACAUGGGGUUCUUAAGGGUUCGCUUCCAGGCUAGGCUUGACUUCCACCGAACUGAUUCUAAGGUGGGUAUUCCCCUGAGCCCAUCUGCUCCUUCAAGCAAGGGAAAGUCAGUAGAACUCGAUGCUGUUGGGGAAGAUUUAGAAUAGGCCAUGUUUGAUGUUUGCAAGUUGAUGAUUCAUUUUGACUCCAAGUUUCUGGCUUCUCUCUUUGAUACUACAAUGAUGGAUAAGUUGGUGGGGUUAGCUUACCAGGUAUGGUGUCCUCAUGGUUUCUAUUUUCUAUUUUAGGAGUGUUAGUAGUUUAAUUUUCAUAAUUUUUAUAUUUUACCCUUGUUACACAUAUACUAUCCAAAUAAGAAUAUGUGAUAGAGAACAUUUGAUGUGUAAAAAAAAAAAAAAUCCCAAAGACAAACUCAUAACAAAAUCAAAGUCAUUUAUACAUGAGACAAAAAAAAAGUGUUUUCUUUUAAUAAUUUUACUAUUUAAGUAUUAUAUUUAUCUAUAGUAUAGAAAAUGUAAUUUUACCUAGGAAUCAAAAUAUAAUUUUAUUUUAUUUCAAUUUGAGUGCUUUAUAAUUUGGGAAUCUUUUCUUGUAUUGUUUUAUUUUAGAUGUAGAAAAAAAUAUAAGAAAACUUUAUAAUUUUGAAUUCCAAAAUAUUGCUAGCCCUUCAAUUAAAACUCAGACUAGUUUUUUUUUAGCUGAGUUGACUUAAGGACACCUUUUUAUUUAUUUAUUUUUCAUUUUUGAAGCAAAAUAUGAAAUAUAGCAUGUUGUGAAAAAACAUGAUAAAGAAUAAUAAUAAGAAAAUAAUGAGAGAAUGAAAACAAAACACAACAAUUUACGUGGUUUGACCUCAAGUCUACAUCUACAGGCGAAAACGAAGAAAAACUUCCAUUAUUAUUGAAGGAGAUUAUAAUCUUAGAGCUCUCAAAUCCCAAAGUCACAAUUUAUACCCAAAAAGUUAUUUUGGUUAAAAUCUUUUCUUAUAUUUUUUCCUAAUUAUAAAAGAAGAUUUCAUAUAGGAAACUAAGUGUACAAUUAUGAAAGAUGCCUUUCCUUAAAAAGAAGAUAUCGUAAUAGAAUAUUUCUUUUACAAUAAUAGGAAACCCACUUACAAGAAUAUCUUCCAUUAGGAAAUUAUCAAUAACUUUCCAAUUUAUUCAAAAAUAGAAUUUGAGACAUUUUCCAACAAUCACCACCUUGGCUCAAAUUCUCAAAAUUCAAACAAACUCGAAAGUCUUUCCUGUUACUUCACUUCUACACCCCAAAGGGCCUUAAGAUACUAUUAACAACAAUUAAGUCCAAGUAAUGCCUGAACUUAACUGUAAGAACAAACUUAUUCAUCAUAUUUGGAUUGUCCAUCGUAGGGAUUUUUUUCACUACAAUAGCACCUUAUAUAAUCAUAUCCCUAAUAAAAUGCAUUCUGAUGUCAAUAUGUUUGGUCAUUUCAUGGAACAUCUAAUUUUUAGUCAAAUGUAUGACACUUUAGCUAUCAUAAUACACAACAAUCAACUCUUGUUGUAAGCCUAAAUCGCUAACCAAAUUCAUAGACCAAAUAGCUUCUUUAACUAUUUUUGUGACCGUUAUGUAUUUUGCUUCAGUGGUUGACAAAGCAACCGUGGAUUCCAAAGUUGUUUUCCAACUAAUAACACAACCACCUAAAGUGAAUACAUGCCUACUUAGAGAUAUUCUUCUAUCCAAAUCUCUAGCAUAAUCAUAAUCAACAUAGCCAACAAUUUCCCUAGAGAUGUCACUACUUUUAUCAUAUACUAAACCAACAUGUGAUGUUCAUUUCAAGUAUUGAAGUAUCCAUUUCACUGUUUGCCAAUGGAUCUUUCUAGGGCAAUCCAUAUAUCUACUCACCACACUAACUAUAUGUGAAAUGUUUGGCCUAGUGCAAACCAUGACAUACAUAAUGCUCCUAACUACACUAGCAUAAGGAACAUGUGGCAUGUGCUCCAUCUCUUCUUUAGUUUGUGGUGAUAAAGCACUUGAAAGUUUGAAGUGAGCUGCUAAUAGAGUACUUACUGGUUUUUACCCUUGCAUUCCAAAGUGUUUCAAUACUUUCUCAAUGUACCUUUUCUGUGAUAAGUACAAUUUCCAUGCUUCUCGGUCUCUAUGAAUCUCCAUACCCAAUAUUUUUUUUGUAGUUCCAAGGUCUUUCAUUUCAAACUCUCCUUGAAGUUGAGUUUUCAACUUGUUAAUCUCAAACAUAUUCUUGCAAGCAAUUAACAUGUCAUCAAAUUUAAUAAUAAAUAAAUGAAAGAACCAUCAAACAAUUCCUUAUUAUAAGCACAAUUAUCAUACUCACUCUUAUAGUAGCCAUUACCAAUCAGAAAAGUAUCAAACCUUUUAUACCACUACCUAGGAAAUUGCUUUAAACCAUAAAGAGAUUUCUUCAACAAACAAACAUGGUUUUCCUUUUCCAAAAUUAUGAAUCCCUCGGGUUAAUGCAUAUAAAUAUGUUCUUCCAACUUACCAUGUAGGAAAACAGUCUUGACAUCAAGUUGCUUUAACUCUAAAUUAAAUAAAGCCACCAUAGCAAGUAACACCCUGAUUGACUAUGCUUCAAAACUGGAGAAAAUACUUCAUUGAAGUCCAUAUCCUCCUUUUAUGUGUAGCCCUUUGCCACCAAGUGUGAUUUGAACUUAGCAUUCUCCACUUUUGGAAUUACUUUCUUUCUUUUGAAGACUCAUUUACAACCAACAAUCUUUUGAUUUUUAGGCUUCUUAACUAGUUGCCAAGUACAGUUCUUUUAAAGAGAUUCAAUCUCCUCAUUCAUAGCAACAAUCUACUAUGUAAACUCUCUACUAGUGAUGGCUUCAUGAUAAGUGUGAAGUUCCUCAUUUUCAAUGCUUUCUAUCAUACUAAGUGCAUAAGCAACCAAAUUUGCAUAAGCAUACCUUUAUGGUGAUUUAAUCUGCCUCUUUGUUCUAUCUUUAGCCAAACAAUAUUGUUGCUCUUAUGAUGCAUUUUCUUUAUCAUCAAGAUAUAGUACUUCUUCCUCAUUUAGCUUCAUUAAAAUCGUUUUUUCUAUGGUUUAUGAAGCUUUAGGAUAAACUCCAUGUUUUUUUUUUCAUACUAGGGUCGUUUCCUGCAUGAAUUGCUCCUUUCUAGGACUCAACAUUACAAACUUAUUAAAAGUGACAUCUUUACCAAUAAGAAAUUUAGAGAAUUUUGAAUCUGGGCACCAUAACCUGUACCAUUUCACUCUAUCUAUAUAUCCUAAGAAUAUGCACUUCCUUGCCCUUGAUUCCAACUUACCUUCAUUCACAUGAGCAUAAGCCAGAUAAUAAAAAAAUUCUUAGAUUUGCAUAAUUAGAAGGGGAACCAGACCACAUCUUUUUAGGAGUCCUAUAAUUAAUAGGAAUUAAAGGAGAUCUAUUCACAAGAUAACAAGCUGAAUUUACCACUUCAGCCCAAAAUUCUUUUAACAACCCUACAUUUGAAAGCAUGCACUGUGCUUUCUCUAAAAGAGUUCUAUUUAUUCAUUUUACAACACCAUUUUGUUAUGGAGGAUGCCUAACUGUGUGGUGUCUUAUAAUACUUUCAUUCUUACAAAACUCAUUGAAUUUUUUCCCAUAAAAUUCCAUGUCAUUGUUAGUUCUCAAGCGCUUAAUCUGUUUUCUAGUCUACUUCUCGAUCAUAGCUUUCCAUUGCUUGAACUUCCCAAAGACAUCAUUAUUAUGUUUCAAAAUAUAUACCCAUACUUUUUUAGAGUAAUUAUUAAUAAAGGUCAACAUGUAUCUUCCACCACUAUGUUAUACAACUUGAGAAGGGCACCAAAGAUCCAAAUGGAUAUAAUCCUAAGUACCUUUAGUUUUAUGAACACCUACAUUGAAUUUCACCUUGCAUUAUUUCCAUAACACACAAUGCUCAUAAAAAUCCAGUUCUCCCAUUUUCUUGUCCAUCAAGUAAACCUCAUUUGCUCAAAAUCUCAACUCUUUCCCAUUCACAUGCCUAAGCAGCAUAUGCCACAAUCCAAUAGUCUCUAAAAUUGAUUGAGGUUGUAACUAUAGUUGCACCUAUAACCGUGCUACCUUGCAAUGUAUAAAGACCCAUUAAUUUUCUUUCCUUUCAUCACAACAAGAGCACCAUUUGAAAUCCUCAAAACUCCACUUCCAACCUUAUAUGUGCAUCUAUUGGAGUCAAGUGUCCUUAAAGAAAUCAAAAUUUUCUUCAGGUUUGGAACAUGUCUUACAUCAGUUAAUGUCCUUACAAUGCCAUCAUGUUUUUUUAUUCGAAUUGUGCCAAUCCCAACAACCUUAUAGGCUACAUCAUUUCCCAUGAGAACCUUCCCACCAUCUAUAAGCUAGUAGGCACUAGACCAAUCCUUAUUGGGAGGCAAAUGAUAGGAGCAUCAUUAAUAAAAAAUACACUCAUCACCUAAGUUAUUAACAAUAACUAAAAGAACAUAUGCAAUAUCUGAAUUUUCUUCUAUAACUACUAUAUCAUCAAAAUUAGAAGUUUUCUCUUUUUCUUUUCCUUUUUGGUUUGGACAAUAUUUCACAUAAUGUCUUUCUUUAUUGCACUUGAAACACUUGUUGUUUCCUCUGGACUUUGAUUUAGAUCUAGAUCAACUUUUUUUUUUUGUCAUUAUUUUUCUUUCAUGUUCUCCCUCUAGCCACCAAACCUUCACCUGAGCCAUCUUCUCUCCCAAAUACCAUUUUCUUCAAAUCCUUUAAGUUCAAGGUUGCUUUAACAUCCCUUAUGGAGAGAGUAUCUUUACCAUACAUCAUGGUAUUUAUGAAGUGCUCAUAAGAAUUUGGCAAGGAAUACAUCAAAAUUAUAGCUUAGUCUUCAUCAUUAAUCCCAACAUUAAUAUUCCUCAAAUCCAUAAUAGUUUUAUUAAACUCAUCAAGGUGGUCUUUAAUGGACAUACUUUUUUUCAUUUGGAGAGUAAACAAGUACCGCUUCUUUAAAUACAAGUGAUUCGUAAGAGACUUCCUCAUAUAUAGACUUUCUAACUACAAUCAUAACUUGGUAGCCGUAUCCUCUUCUGCAAUCUCAUGAAGCAUCUCAUUACUCAAGCGCAAUAGAAUAACACUAUAAGCUUUUUCCAUAAGUUUAUCAUUCUUUUCAUCAAACAUCAUUGAUGGUAGAGCCUUUCUACCUUUUAGUGCUUUGGAUAAUCCUUGUUGAAUCAAUAAGGCACACAUCUUAACAUGCCACAAACUAAAAUCGUCUCUUCCAUUAAACUUGUCAACCUCAAACUUUGUCGUAAUUCUAAGUCUAAUAACCCAAGCUCUGAUACCAAUUUGUUGUGAAAAUGAAACAUACAACAAUUUACAUGGUUUGGUCUCAAUCCUACAUCCACGGACGAAGACAAAGAAGAACUUCCAAUAUUGUUGAAGGAUAUUACAACCUUAGAGCUCUCAAAUCCCAAAGUCCCAAUUUAUACCCAAAAAGAGACUUUUACUCUUUUGGUCAAAAUCUUUUUCUAUAUUUUUUCCUAAUUACAAAGGAAGAUUCCAUAUAGAAAACUAAGUGUAUAAUUGUCAAUGAUGCCUUUUCCUAAAAGAAGAUCUCAUAAUAAUAUUUCCUUUACAAUAAUAGGAAACCCACUUACCAUAAUAUCUUCUAUUAGAAAACUAUUAAUAACUUUCCAAUUGACUCAGAAAUAGAAUUUAAGACAUUUUCCAAUAUAGUAUAAGAUUUUUUCUAGAAACUGACAAAAAGCUAGAGGUUCUCUUUGAAUGUUUCUAACUUUUAUACUAUUGCUCAAAAUUUUAAAUUAAGGAUUUUAUUUUAGACUAUAGCUCAAAAUUAACCAUACGAGAACAUUGUCUUGUACAAUUUUGUAUAAAAAAAAAUUUCGCUUGAAUUAAUGUGCACUAAUUUUAAAAAAAAAAAAACAAAAACAAAAACAGAAAUGGUCCCACUAAUGAAUAUCAAUGGAAGCCUUUGAAAAAAAAAGUAAUAAAUUAUUUUGGGAUGUUUCUUUUAAAUUUUAUUUUUAACUAAUAUUCAUUACUUAAAUCUUAUAAUAAGAAACAUGAAAUUAUCUUUUUCAAUUGAAAUUGGGGUAAUUGCUUCUUGAGAUUUUUUUUUUCUUCCAAUUUUAGUUUAGUUGAAUCUUCAUUUUGGGAUGAAUAGAAUUUUCUUACAAUCCUUUUUUAAUUUCUUAAUAUAAAUUACUAUUCUAAAAAUAAUUUUAAAUAAAUAUGUUCUACUUGAAAAUGGAAUAUCAAAUAAUAUUUUUGGGAGACCAAAAACGAUUUUUGACUCUUAGCAAGGCAUUUCUCUUUUUAUCUACUCAUCAAUUUUUUUUUUUUUUUGGUGUAUUGCAUUGCAAUAGCACAUAGUUUUUUCUUUUGCAGAAAAAAACUUUAAAACAUAUUUUUGAAAACAAGAGGGGGUUUGUGUAAGUAAAUUGAUAAAAUUGAAAGAAAUUAACAAAGAAAGUGUGCAAGGAAAUACUUUAUGGUUGUUCACAAUUUAAUUGCAAUAUUCAUUUCCACCAAUUAAAUUGUGUUUCAUUUCUUGGAUUUUAAUAUAAAAUCACACACCAAUUAUUUUGUAAAUACGAAAAAUAUAUUUGGAUAAAUAAUCUAAUUUGUAUUUUUUUUAGUGUUCAUACAUUUUUCAUAAAAUUAAAACAAGUGAAAGUUAGAUUAUGUUGUUUCUAAAUUGCAAUGAACUUGGAUUAGCACUAGGACCAUAAUUGAGAAUGAGUUUCGGUGCAAAGUUGAUUAAGUUAAUUACUGAACUAAUGAAAUUAAUUAACAUUUAGCAGUAAUAAAAGGGAAAAAAGUCGACUUAGCAAGAAUAUCGGAAAUACAAAGAUAGUGAUAAAUAAAUCGUAAAAUAUUAUGGUUGUUAAAAGAAAAACUUAUUUAAACUAUAUAUAAAGUAAUUAACUCAAAAAAUCUCACAAAUUCAGUGUUAAAAAAAAAUCAAUGUGUUUAAAUUAAAAUUUGGUAAAUGUCAUGACUAAGAAAAUUAUUUUAAAAAAUAAUUUUAUCAUCAUAAAAUUUUGGUUUGAAAAAGUGUAAUUCUAUUUAUAUUUCAUCCCAAUCAUUUUUUUUUUCUAUUUCGUUUAAUGUCUAAUUCAAUUAUCUGAUUUUGAAUCUCUACUUAGUUUCAUAUUAAAGAAUUUGAAAGAAUAAAUUCACACACUCAAGGAGUCAAAAUUACUAACACAAGUAAGACCAAUUAUGGAGUUGGACUAUCGUCAAGCGGCCCAACCAACUCCUGGGCUUUGAUCAACGGUCAACCUCUUGAAUGGCUUGUCGAGCGCUAAACCAACUGGACCUACUGGUUCUUCUGAAAGAAUACAUUAAGAUGAUAGAAUGGUAAUAUAUACGACUUCUGAGAUGUAGACAAAGUUCGAUGAUAAAUUCUUAUUAUAGUUUUUUUUAUUUAAUAAAAUUUAAAAUAUUAUUUAUAUUUUAUUUUUAUUAUAAUUUAAUUAAUUAAAAAUAAAAAAUUUUAAAUUAUUUAUACAUAUACAUAGUCUAAUUAUUUUAAAUUUUAAUAAUAUAUAAAUUACAUAUUUAUGUUUUGUUUCACUUUUUCUAGGAAUGAUAGGCCCAGUAGUCUGUUAUGAUUACAAUUCAAGGGCCCGAAUUCAUGGGCCCGGCCCAGACAUCUGAUGGCCAUUGACAAGCCCAUUUCCGAGGGACCAUUAUUAUUAGUAUUAUAACUAGUAGGCAACUCUGCUUAAGUGGAAUGAUCUGUCAUAUUUAUUUAUUUUUAUUUAAUUUCGAGUGUAAAUACAGUGGAUUCACAUUUAGAAAAAUAUUUAAUGAAUAGGACUUGUUUUUAAAAACUAAAAAAAAAUAAGUGGGUGUUUGAUAAAACUUAAUAUUUAUUACUUAAAUUAACUUUAUGUUAAAUUUAUACUUAAGUUAUUGAUUUAAAACUUAUUAUUUAAUUCUCAUUUUAAAUAUUACAGUUGUUUUGAUAAAAUUAAUUUAAAAUUUAUUUUAAGUUAUCAAAUUAAUAUAUUUAUCUUCAUAACUUAUAAUUAGGGCAAAGUAAGUUGAGUAAUAAUGGGGUGGUGGAGUAGCAAAAAAGAUCGUGAAGGUGAUUAGGGUAAAUGAGAACAAAAACAUAGAAUGAAGACGUGGACUUAAAAAUAAUUUAAUUCUUUUUACUUAUUACCUAAAGUUGUUUAUGAUCAUAUCAUUCUAUUUAAUAACUUAAAUUAAAUUAUUAAGUUACUUUAAAUUAUUAAGUUGGUUUAUCAAACAUCUAAUAAGACAUCUGCAAGCAAUUUAUUAAGAUUAACUUUGAAAACAAACAAUAUUAAAGCCUUUUUAAGUUUGUAGGAAGUUUGAAAAAUAAUCAAACAGGACCUUGGAGGAUUGUAAAUAUCAAGAUAUUUGGUGCAUUGUAGACAAAAGGAUUUCAAAUACUCGUCUUUACAUCUAUUAGUUAAUAGAAUUACCCCAUUUUUAGAAGGCUUUACAAACCCACUAACAUAAUAUGCAUAGGACAUUUCAAGUCGGUUUGAAUAUGUUUUCUUAAACUUAUUUUUAAAAACCGAUUUUAAGUUAAAGAAAACAAAAAUGGAUUUAUUGUAUUUUAUAAAAAUAAGAGUGUUUGGUAAAUUGUUUUUAAAAUGAGAUACAAAAAACAUACUUGAUAAGUUGUUUUUCAAAAUAUUAUUUUUUUGUUUUGAUUUUAUAAAAACAUUGUAAAUUCAAUUUAUAUAAUAUAAAUUAAAUUUAAUUCAAGUCUUAUUAAAAAUAAAAAUAGCUUUUUAAUUACAAAUAAAUUGAAAAAAUAAAUAAUUUUUGGUAAAACAUGAAUGACAAUAUUAUAAUAAAAUCAUAAAUGAUUUUUUUUAAUAAAAAAUUAUACUAUUUUAAUAUAUGUUAGAAGCAUAGGGAUAUUAAUAUCUUCCUAAUUUUUUUUUGGUUAAAAAUAAAUAAUAAUUUUUAAUGUAAUAUUUUAUUUAGGGAAAAGUGAACUUUGAUUCACUAAUAAGAAAAUAUAUGAAAAAACAAUCCCAAAUUUUUUAAUUCAGUAUUAUCUUCAUCUAUUGAAAAAUAAUUUGAAAUAUAUUCACUUUUUAAUGAGUCAUCUAAUUAUUCCCUAAAAUGUCCCUUUUACUUGUCAUGUCAUCAACAUCAAUUGAAAAAUAAUUUUUUAGAAUAAUUUUUAAAAAUUGUUCUCUAAUUUUGUAGAACAAAAGUCUGUUUGAAAACUUAAAAUGUCCUUAACAUGUUUUCAAUAUUUUUAAAAAUAAUUUUUAUAUCUAGUAUUUUAUUUUUAAUUAUUCUACGUAUUAGUAUAAUUAUUUCUUAAAAUAGAUCUUAAAAAAAUAAGUGAAAAUAAUAUAAAAACAAUUGAAAGAUGUUAUUUGAAAACACCAUAUUUUUUGUUUUUAAGAAUAAAAAACAAACAAAAAAGUUUUGAUUGUCAAAUAUGUUUUAUGUGUUUUGUUCUAGAGAAUAUAAAAGUAUUAUGAAAAAUAGUUCUCAAAUAGAUUCUUAAUUAUUUUCAAUUAUUUUCACUUAUUCUUUUAAGGAUUGUUUUUAAAAAAUAAUUAUACAAACAUGUAGAAUGAUUAAAAAUGAAGUACUAGAUAUAAUUUUUUUAAACAUAUUUAAAAAUAUUAAAAAUAAAUACAAAUAUUUUUAAUUUUCAAAUAAAUUUUUGUUUUAUAAAAUAUUAAAGAAUAGAUUCCAAAUAAUUAUUUUUAAAAACUAUUUCUUAAAAUUGUUUUAAAAAACAAUUAUUAAAUAGGGCCUAAACCUAAAAUGCAUUGGCUCAAUGACACAAAAAUAUGGGGAGCAAUAAUCAAUUUAGCAUCAUGACGCGUGUACCAUUCUUAGAAUAAGAAUGGGCCCAUUUCUUUUGUGGAGUUUUGACCCAAAAUAGGAUAUUUAGAAAAAAAAAAGAAAAAAAAGUAAACUGAUUUCCAAAAUAAUGUCCAAUAUAGUGCAUUUGUGCCAUGUAGGAGUCCAGGUCAAGAAACCGUAGUCACCAAUUAUGGAUUUGAUUUUUUUUUUUUAAAUCAGUCAAAACCGUAGUUGGUAACUACGGUUUUGAAUCAUUUUCAAUUCAUUUUCCUUUUCGGUUAGGUUUCUUACAUUUAGGGUUUUGCCUUCUUAUUCGUCCUUCCCAUUGUCUCCCGUUGCAUUUGGUUGUCUUUGGUUCAUCCUUGGCUCAAAUUUAAUAUUUUCCAAAUUUUCAUCUUGUUCCGUCAUUGGUCAGGUAAGAUUUAUGAGUUUUUCAGUUUACGUAAAUUUUAAUUUUUUUUUUUUUUUUUGUAAAUUUGUUUGGUUUUCAAGUAUUUUAAUUUGUUAUUGUAUAUGUGUUUGGUUUCUGAUUUUAUUUUCAUCUUGAGCUUGGUAAAGAUGUGUUGAUUUUAAAAAUUUUUUUUUUUUCAUUGUGAGCUUGUAAUUUUUUUUUCAUUAGUAAAGAUAAAAGCAACUAUGAGACUGUAUUAAAUACAUAAAACCUAGUACUGACAAGAUUUAGAAGAUAAAAACAACUAUGAGACUGUAUUAAGGCCAUUAAACACAUCUAAGCGACUAGAAAACCUCCCAAGAAAAAGCCAUAAACAAUCUUGAAAUUGUCAUACGAGAUUUUCAAGUCUUAGAUCAAGGUCAUUAGUCCUCCUCUUAUAUUAACUUUUAGCUAUUGCCAUUUGUCUCAACCAAAAAUAGAAGUUGCCCAAUUUAUUCUAUGUUAUUCCUCUAACACCACUAUUGACCCAUAUGGUCUUUACAAAAGAUGAAAUAACAUCAAACAUUAUUCUAUUAAUAGUAACACAAAAAAUAUGUCCAUAUAAAAAUAUCUCCUAGUUUUAUGUAGGGUGGGGCAAUGUUACCUGCACCACCUAGUCCUGAUUUUGAUUCCAAAAUUGUUUGCCCAUAAAUUGAUGGAUCCAUAGGCAAAGAUUUUUUAGUAGCACCCAAGUUAACUUCGCCUUUAAUGUCCUAUAAAUUCGAAAAAAAAAAAUCACGGAUGCAUGGACAAAUAAACAAAAAAAUUGAAGCUAAAAUAAAAUAUUGAGCAAAACUAUGAGAAGGCAAGGCCAUUGGCAGUUGGUUAUACUGGAGAAUAGAGUCUAUUCCCAGAAAAUCCCAAGAAUGAGUUGUACGGACUCGGUUCAUCCUGCUCUUGAACAUUGAAAUUACUAAAUUACUCUCUACAAACAAGAAAAUCAAAAGGAAUUUAGUAAGUCAGAAUGUUUUAAAUGAUGUACAAAGUUUUAUAAUACGGAAAAAGGCACACCUGCAAGUUUUUGAGCUUGCUUUGGUGUAAGCAUGGAUGAGAACCCUUUAAAGAUUUUACUGUAAUGGUGAAGUGCCACUGCCUAUGCCUUAUCAACACUGAAAACAAUCCACCACAACAUUUAAAAUCAUAGAAAAACAGAUCAAAUGUUACAAUCCACAUUGUCAAAAUCAGGUAAGGACACAGAAAACCAAUAGCCUAUUCUUUUUAGGGAUCAUGAUCCCUUACCUUCUAGUAACUGAAGCUAGCAUUUCAUGGUUAGCUAUAACCAGAUAUUAUGAAUCUUGGUAUAAGUGAUCCCCCAUAUCAACAAUGUAAUGCUGCAAAAAUCACAAAAAAAAGAAGAAAAAAACUAGAUUAUACUCAAAUUAGCCCCCUAUUAUCCUCAUACUUCUCUACAUAACAACAAUCACUCUUUCUAUACCUUUCUAUCAGCAAUGGCUCCCUGCAAGAAACCAAAACUAAACAAGAAGAGAAGAUUGAAGACUAAAAUUAAAAUUAAAAUUAAAAUUAAUUGAUAAAUUAUUUUUUCUAUAAUUAAAAUUAAUAUUAAAUAGAUUUAUAAAAUGUUUAUUUGUUUUCAUUUUUAAUAUUCAAAUAAUGUUUAUUUAUAUAUAAAUGAUUUUUUUUCUAUAAUUGUGUAUUUGAUAUUUUACUAAUAUAUUUUUCUGUGGUGAGUUAUCUUUUAUUUGAUUUUGAGAUUUAAAUUUUUUUUCGACUUUUAGGUUUAAUAAAAUAUCAAGUGAUUUAUGAAUAACAACAUAAUUAUUUAAAUUAUAUAUUAUUUAAUGGUUGUUAACAUUUAAUUUUAUUUUAAUAUAUGAAUUUUAUCAAUUUUUUUUACUGGUGGAUUAUUUGAGAAGGGUCAUCCUCUUGGCAUCAAUUUUAUUAAAAUUAAAAUUAAUAUUUAAUAGAUUUAUAAAUUAAAAUAAAAAUUAAUUUAUAAAUUAUUUUUUAUAUAAUUAAAAUUAAAAUUAAAUAGAUUUAUAAAAUGUUUAUUUGUUUUUAUUUUUAAUAUUCAAAUAAUGUUUAUAUAUAUAUAUAUAUAAAAGAUUUUUUUUCUAUAAUUGUGUAUUUGAUAUUUUAUUAAUAUAUUUUUCUGUGGUGAGUUAUCUUUUAUUUGAUUUUGAGAUUUAAAUUUUUUUUCUACUUUUAGGUUUAAUAAAAUAUCAAGUGAUUUAUGAAUAACAACAUAAUUAUUUAAAUUAUAUAUUAUUUAAUGUUUGAUAUCAUUUAAUUUUAUUUUAAUAUAUGAUAUGUUAUCAAAAAAAAUUUUAUUGGUGGAUUAUUUAAGAAGGGCCAUCCUAUUGGCAUCAAUUUUAUUAAAAUUAAAAUUAAUAUUCAAUAGAUUUAUCAAUUUAAAUUGAAAUUAAAAUUAAUUUAUAAAUGAUUUUUUUCUAUAAUUGAAAUUAAUAUUAAAUAGCUUUAUAAAAUGUUUAUUUGUUUUCAUUUUUAAUAUUCAAAUAAUGUUUAUAUAUAUAUAUAAAUAAAUUUUUUUCUAUAAUUGUGCAUUUGAUAUUUUAUUAGUAUAUUUUUCUGUGGUGAGUUAUUUUUUAUUUGAUUUUGAGAUUUAGAAGUUUUUUCGACUUUUAGGUUUAAUAAAAUAUCAAGUUAUUUAUGAAUAACAACAUAAUUAUUUAAAUUAUAUAUUUUUUAAUGGUUGAUAACAUUUAAUUUUAUUUUAAUAUAUGAUAUUUUAUCAAAAAAAAAUUUAUUGGUGGUUAUUUGAGAAGAGUCAUCCUGUNNNNNNNNNNNNNNNNNNNNNNNNNNNNNNNNNNNNNNNNNNNNNNNNNNNNNNNNNNNNNNNNNNNNNNNNNNNNNNNNNNNNNNNNNNNNNNNNNNNNNNNNNNNNNNNNNNNNNNNNNNNNNNNNNNNNNNNNNNNNNNNNNNNNNNNNNNNNNNNNNNNNNNNNNNNNNNNNNNNNNNNNNNNNNNNNNNNNNNNNNNNNNNNNNNNNNNNNNNNNNNNNNNNNNNNNNNNNNNNNNNNNNNNNNNNNNNNNNNNNNNNNNNNNNNNNNNNNNNNNNNNNNNNNNNNNNNNNNNNNNNNNNNNNNNNNNNNNNNNNNNNNNNNNNNNNNNNNNNNNNNNNNNNNNNNNNNNNNNNNNNNNNNNNNNNNNNNNNNNNNNNNNNNNNNNNNNNNNNNNNNNNNNNNNNNNNNNNNNNNNNNNNNNNNNNNNNNNNNNNNNNNNNNNNNNNNNNNNNNNNNNNNNNNNNNNNNNNNNNNNNNNNNNNNNNNNNNNNNNNUAUAUAUUUGUAUUUGAUAUUUUAUUAAUAUAUUUUUCAAUGGUCAAUUAUCUUUUAUUUGAUUUUGAGAUUUAAAUUUUUUUUCAGACUUUUAGGUUUAAUCAAAUAUCAAGUGAUUUAUGAAUAACAAUAUAAUUAUUUAAAUUAUAUAUUGUUUCAUGGUUGUUAACAUUUAAUUUUAUUUUAAUAUACGAUAUUUUAUCAAAAAAAAAUUAUUGGUGGAUUAUUUGAGAAGGGCCAUCCUAUUGGCAUCAAUUUUAUUAAAAUUAAAAUUAAUAUUCAAUAGAUUUAUCAAUUUAAAUUUAAAUUAAUUUAUAAAUGAUUUUUUUUUCUAUAAUUGAAAUUAAUAUUAAAUAACUUUAUAAAACGUUUAUUUGUUUUCAUUUUUAAUAUUCAAAUAAUGUUUAUAUAUAUAUAUAUAUAUAUAUAUAUAUAUAUAAAUGAUUUUUUUCCUAUAAUUGUGUAUUUGAUAUUUUAUUAAUAUAUUUUUCUAUGAUGAGUUAUUUUUUAUUUGAUUUUGAGAUUUAAAUUUUUUUUUUUGGACUUUUAGGUUUAAUCAAAUAUAAAGUGAUUUAUGAAUAAUAACAUAAUUAUUUGAAUUAUAUAUUUUUUAAUGGUUGAUAACAUUUAAUUUUAUUUUAAUAUAUGAUAUUUUAUCAUUUUUUUUAUUGGUGGAUUAUUUGAGAAGGUCAUCUUGUUGGCAUCAAUUUUAUUAAAAUUAAAAUAAAUAUUUAAUAGAUUUAUAAAUUAAAAUUAAUUUAUAAAUGAUUUUUUUUCUAUAAUUAAAAUUAAUAUUAAAUAGAUUUAUAAAAUGUUUAUUUGUUUUCAUUUUUAAUAUUCAAAUAAUGUUUAUUUAUAUAUAAAUGAUUUUUUUUUCUAUAAUUGUGUAUUUGAUAUUUUAUUAAUAUAUUUUUCCAUGGUGAGUUAUCUUUUAUUUGAUUUUGAGAUUUAAUUUUUUUUUUUCGAAUUUUAGAUUUAAUCAAAUAUAAAGUGAUUUGUGAAUAAAAACAUAAUUAUUUAAAUUAUAUAUUGUUUAAUGGUUGUUAACAUUUAAUUUUAUUUUUGUAUAUGAUAUUUUAUCAAUUGUUUUUUAUUGGUGUAUUAUUUGAGAAGGGCCAUCCUAUUGGCAUCAAUUUUAUUAAAAUAAAAAUUAAUAUUUAAUAGAUUUAAAAAUAAAAAUAAAAAUUAAUAUAUAAAUGAUUUUUUCUAUAAUUAAAAUUAAUAUUAAAUAGAUUUAUAAAAUGUUAUUUUUUUUUAUUUUUAAUAUUCAAAUAAUGUUUAUAUAUAUAUAUAAAUGAUUUUUUUUCUAUAAUUGUGUAUUUGAUAUUUUAUUAAUAUAUUUUUUUGUGGUGAGUUAUCUUUUAUUUGAUUUUGAGAUUUAAAAUUUUUUUCGAUAUAUAAAUGAUUUUUUUUCCUAUAAUUGUGUAUUUGAUAUUUUAUUAAUAUAUUUUUCUCUGGUGAGUUAUUUUUUAUUUGAUUUUGAGAUUUAAAAUAUUUUUUGGACUAUUAGGUUUAAUCAAAUAUUAAGUGAUUUAUGAAUAAUAACAUAAUUAUUUAAAUUACAUAUGUUUUAAUGGUUGAUAACAUUUAAUUUUAUUUUAAUAUAUGAUAUUUCAUCAAAAAAAUUUUUAUUGGUGGAUUAUUUGAGAAGGGUCAUCUUGUUGGCAUCAAUUUUAUUAAAAUUAAAAUUAAUUUAGAAAUGAUAUUUUUUUCUAUAAUUAAAAUUAAUAUUAAAUAGAUUUAUAAAAUAUUUAUUUGUUUUCAUUUUUAAUAUUCAAAUAAUAUAUAUAUAUAUAUAUUCUAUAAUUGUGUAUUUGAUAUUUUAUUAAUAUAUUUUUUUGUGGUGAGUUAUCUUUUAUUUGAUUUCAAGAUUUAAUUUUUUUUUCGACGUUUAGGUUUAAUCAAAUAUCAAGUGAUUUAUGAAUAAAAACAUAAUUAUUUAAAUUAUAUAUUAUUUAAUGGUUGAUUUAUUUAUUUAUUUAUUUAAAUUUGAGAUUCUUAUAAUUGUUUAGCCUUUUAGUUUUAACUAAACAUUUAUUGAUUUAUAACCCACUAUCUAAGUUUUAAAUUAAAAUUUUAUCAAACAUUUAUCUAUGAAUAUAUUUGUAUCAUAAAUAACUAUUUAAAUAAAAAAAUUAUUAUUAUGAAGUGAUUUAUAUUUUUUCUCCUAAUAUGUAAGAAGGUGUUUUAUUAUAUAAUUGUGUAUUCACGUGUUAAAAGAUUAUAUGCAAUUUCUCUUGAACAUUCUUGUAUGUGUGUUUUCGUAAUUAUUUUAAUAAACAAGUAUGUUAAGUUCAAAACACAAAGACUUGCUAUUAUUAUCAUUGCUUAUUAAACCAUUUGAUAUUGUAUUUUUUUGUAGGUAAAUCAUGUUUGAAUCUAUUGUUCCUAUGAUUUGCUUUUGUAAAGGAAAAAUGUUGAGGACAAAAACAAAUGUAAAGUAUAUUGGAGAUCAAGCUAUAAUUGUGCCUUUGGAUGUGCUUGUUAGUUCAAACUAUAAACACUUGUUAUCUAUGAUAUACUCAAGAGUUGGCAUUGACAAAAAACAAUUUCAAUUAAUCCUCAAUUGUAGGUAUCCUUUAAAAAGGGAAAAUAGAUUCUAACCUUGUCUAAUAUGGGAUGAUAAUAGUUUAUCCCAAAUGUUGAAAUUGGUUAUCACAUUUGGAAUGGUGAAAUUGAAUUGUAUAUUGAACAAGUGCUAGUACAGCCACGAGUGAGAGGAAAACUAUUGGGUAACUUCACACAUUUAUUACUUGGAGAAAAUGAUGAUGUUAAGGAAUUUGAGUAUGGUUGUGGACCUAGUAGCACCCCAAUUGCAAUGACUUAUGAGUGUAGAGCAGAUGAAAAUGAAGAAAAAUGUGAAUCCUAAGAAGGUGAUGAUCAAAGUGAGACAGUAGAAGAUGUUCAACAUGAUGGCCAUGGGGUAUUCGAAAUUAUUGAUGAGGAAAACAAUAAUGUUAAUGUUGUUUCAUAUUUCUUAGCUCUUCACGAAGUAAUGGAAAGUGAACAAGGGAGAUAUGUCUUCGUGGAUGGGGAAGGUUGUGAUAUGUUAAAUAACCUAGAUCCUGAGGACCCAAUGAAGUUUUCCCCUGUUCAGUACCACUUGGCACCAUUGUUGCAGUUUGAAAAUGUAGAAAACAUUGGUAAUGUCGUUUUAAGUGAUUGGACCCGAUGGGGGAACACUAAUAUUGGAAACUCAGGUAGAGAAUUCAUGGUUAGCCAAGUUUUUAAUUCAAAAACAGAUUUACAACAUGCUACGAAGUUGUACUCUAUUAGUGUACACCAAGAGUAUGUUGUUUCGUCAACUAAAAAGUUGUUAGUCUUAAGAUGCAAAAAGAUUGAACAAUCUCAAUGUCCAUGGAAACUUCAUGCUAUGGUUGUAUAAGGUACAACUUUAUUUGCAAUCAAUAAAUACAAUGGUCCGCACAAAUGUGUAAAUCCUUGCUUGAAUCAGGACCAUCAACAAUUAGAUUCCAACUUGAUUGUUACUCAUAUCUAAGGAAUGAUUAAGGCACAAUUCACAUUGUCAGUGACUGCUAUUCAAGCAAGUAUUGUGGAGAAAUUUGGAUAUCAAAUAUCAUAUAAGAAGAAAUCUAAAGUGAAGCUUAAAGCACUUACAAACUUAUUUGGUGAUUUUUAUAAGUCAUAUGCAGAGUUACCACAUUUUUUCAUUACCUUAGAGCAGGCAAAUCCAGGAUGUGUUGUAAUUUCAAAAACAUUUCCUGGUAUUAUGGAGAAUACAUAGAUAUUUCAGUGAGUUUUUUGGACAUUUCAUCCAUCUAUUGAAGGAUUCAAGCAUUGUCGGCCUGUACUCAAUAUUGAUGGUACAUAUUUGUAUAGGAAGUAUAAAGGCACUUUAAUGAUUGUUGUGGGUUGUGAUGGAAAUAAUUAGUUAUUCCCAUUGGCUUUUCCCUUAACAGAGGGUGAUAAUAUUGAUAGUUGGGGAUGACUUUUGGCAUGUAUUAAAACUAGAGUAACUCAUAGGAGGAGACCUUGUGUUAUAUCAGAUCGAUAUCCAGGUAUUAUGGCUGUAAAGAGCGAUGUUCAUCUUGGUUGGUCUAAGCCAUAUGCAUGUCAUAGGGUUUGUAUGUGUCAUCUUGCCAACAAUUAUGACUCGAUUCAAGGAUAAAAUAUUGAAAAAUCUGAUGUGCAGAACAACCUUAGCAACCAAGAUUCAAAAAUUUAAUAAACAUAUGAGCACAAUUGAGAAGAUUAAUGUAGUCACACAACAAUGGUUGGGAGCAAUCCCUUUUGAGAAAUGAGCGUUCUCUCAUAAUGGAGGUCGAAGGUAUGACAUUAUGACUACAAACAUGUCGAAGGUAUUCAAUAGUGUGCCUAAAAAGGCUCGUAGCUUACCCAUAACUACUUUGGUUCAAUUGACAUUUUUUCAGCUAAAUAGUUACUUUAUCGUGAGAAGAGAACAAUGUGCUAAUCGACUUGCGUCAAAUGAGGAAUACACUCCAUAUGUCGAUGUUAAUAAUAAGGCAAAUCUGGUUAAGGUGGGAUUUCAUGAGCUUUUUUUAUAUGAUCACAUCCAAGGACGAUUCCAUGUGAAGACUAGUAGCGGUACUAAGAGUAGCUCAACUAGUUGUUGAACAUAUCGCGUCAACUUACAUGAGCAUGCAUACACAUGUGGUAAAACACCCAUAUAUGGAUUCCCAUGUAACCAUAUUCUAGCAGCAUGUCAUUUUCGUUUAGUUGAUUUUAGACCACUUGUUCAACACUACUACAGUACAUAAUCAUACUAUAAUACUUGGGCACCCCUGUUCCAUCCCAUUUUCAAUGUAUAUGAGUGGCCUCCUUAUGAUAGUCCGAUUAGAUGAAGCAUGCAUCAAGUGGACGAACUAAAUCAAGUCAUUUGCAUAAUGAAAUAGAUUUUAGAGAGGGCAAGACUUCUAUUACAUGUGGGUUAUGCAAACAAAGUGACCACAAUCGUCGCUCUUGUUAAAACAGUAAUAGAGUUGAUUAGACCAUGUGAUGUAUGCAUGUAGUUUUCUUGGAUAUUUUGAUGUAAGCUACUAUGAUACUACCUUUAUGCAAUUAUUGGCUUUGGUUUGAUUAUAAGUAUUGAUGUUAUUUGUAUAAUUAGGUUAUUUGCAUUUGGAAUAAUGUCCAUACUAUAGGGGAAACUCUGUCAAAAUUUUGAAAUUUUCUAUUAAAAAUGUUAACAAAAUGCUCAAUUGUAUUUGUAUCUCUAAUUUUAAUUUAGACUAGAAUAACUUUUUUAUUGGUCAUAAAUGAAUUGAUCUACUUAAAUUUAUCAAAUUGAUAUAUACUUAAUAUAGGGAAAACUCCAUAAAUUUUUAAAACUUUUCCAUUACAAAUAUUUUUCUAUUUAAAAACAAUAAGUAUUGUUUAUUUAUCCUUAUAAUUUUGUUAUGAUAUGGAGUAUAAAGGACAUAGUUUUGAUCCAGAUCUAUUAGAUAUAUCUAUUUUGGUUCUAUAGGAUAGACACAAGUCUCAUUUAGUUGACUCUAGCUAGUAUGUAUAUGAAAGCACAUAAUAUCUCUUUAAAGAAUGAAAAAAAUUUGAAGUUUAUUAUCGAAAUGAUUUAUUUGUAUUUUUACAGCUUGCUUCAGUCUUGACUUGUUGACAACAUAUAUCUAGAUUUAUAUGGGAGUGGGAGAUGGAUCCUCGUCUUCAACCUUUUUAUGGUGUAUACUGUAUUGGACACAUUACACUAGAUUGGGGACUGAUCACUAGUCUAGUUGAGAGUUGGUGUCCUGAGACACACACAUUUCACCUACCUAUUGGGGAGAUGACCAUUACUUUACAAGAUGUUGCUAUCAUGUUAGGACUUCGUAUUCAUGGGCUUCCCAUCAUUGGCACAUGUGACAUAGAUUGGUCACUGCUAUGUUAUGAACUUUUAGGUGUGACUCCUCUUACAUCUGAGAUUAAAGGUCAACAAUAUCAACAUGAUGGUUAUGUCACUAGUUCUCUUAUCCACCAAUUGAUUUAGAUGAUGCCACAUUAGAGUGGUAUACACAAGCUUUCAUAUUAAUACUCAUAGGUUCAACGCUAUUUAUAGACAAGAAGGGUACCCACAUCCAUAUGUGUUAUCUCCCACUACUUAGAGACUGACUUAGACAUCUAUGUAUAGUUGGGGCAAUGCAGUAUUAGCACACCUAUAUAGGGAGUUGUGACGAGCAAGUUUGGAUGGUGUCAUCGAUAUUGAUGGAUGUGUCACACUUUUACAAGUAUAAUUAAUUAUUCACAUUAGAUUAAAAUUUCUAGUUGCUUCAAGUUUAUAAUUUAAGUAAAAUUUUAAUGUUACAUUUUUUCCAGUUGUGAUAUUGGGAGAGACUCCACGUGGGUCGACCUGAUUUUGGUCGACCACCAACCCCUCCAACAACUCAGCAUUUAGAUCAUGAUGCAAUCGAUUAUUUACCAACUGAGGGUCCUAUUGGGGUACACCAUGGAUUAUUGGAUGAAGAUCAGGGAUUACAGGAUGAGGCAUUGUUAGAUGAGGGUUUACCAACUGAUCUGUUAGGAUGUAGGUGGAGAGUACCUUUAUCAUGGGCUCAAAACCCAUUACGUGUGUUGACUUUUUAUUAAGAUCAAUUAGAUGCACAAACCCAUCACCAAGUACAUAUAAGAUGUAAUGUGUUAUUGUUAACCAUAUAAACAUUAACAUUAUUAAUGUCAAAUGUUGAUUUUAACAGGUUUUAUGGGAGACUUAGUUUCCUCAUCUUCCAGUGACAUCUCUAGCAGACCAGGAGAUUUGGCAGAUGAUGUCACCUUUUAUUUACUUUGAUAUUGUUGAGUGGCAUCAACCGGAGCGAGUGUUGUGAUAGUUUGGCCUCCAACAAGGGAUAACUCCAUCUUGUUCCAUAGAGCAAGACCUCCAUUUUAUGGAUAGGCGAGGACAACAUAAGCAUGAUUGGGGAGCAUUCCAUGCACAAUAUAUUACCUUAUGAGUUAGUUGUGUGGAGCGUAUUGCGACAGCACCACCUAUGAUGGGUGCUAUCUAGUUUCAUGGUCCAUAUAUGGAGUGAUAUCAACGUAUUACAUAACGUUUGAUCACAUCCCUUUUCCAUACAAAUAAAAUGAGGUAUUAUAGUACAACAACUACUCAGUUGUUGGUAAGAUUUUUUAAUUUAGAAAUGGUUUAUUAAAUUAUAAUUAAUAAAAAAUCAUCUUCGUCUAUUUUGCUUUUUUUUCUUUUUAGACCACUGGCAUGAUUGAGAUUGCUAGUCGAUUUUUUAGGCCUACUUCAGGUGCAUAGGCAACAUUCAUCGGAUUUCUAUUGAUAUUUUGCAUAUUAUUGAAGAGGAGCAUCGCAUACAUUCAAUCCGUCAAUCGCCUACAUCAUCAGACCCAUCCAUGAGACCACUUGUGUCAACCAUUACAGUUAGAAUGCAGCUUAUUCGAUGCUGAGGGAGAGGUAGUAGGCGAGAUGGUGGGUGAGUUGGUCGACAACCUCGACGUUCUAUGCAUCCACCUGAGACCAUGUUAGCACCAUCCAUAUAAUCUACCCCAUUUGCACUUGAGGCUUCCACACUUCCCCUUUCACCCCUACCAUCACUUUCACCUAGACCUUCUCCCUUAGAGCAUGUUUUAUCAAAUACCACUCUACCAUUACCUGUAUUUCCUCCCAUAGAGGCCACUAUACCUGAUGUCACUAUACCAAAGACUACCCCACUAUCUAUUAAUCUACCAUCACCUCUACCUUCUCUCGAUAAGACCACUACACCACAUGUCACCUCACCAUCAUCACUUAUAUCUCUUCUCCUCGAGCCCACUAUAUCAAAUGUUAUUGCACUAGCUACCACCACAUCAAAUAUCAUUCUUCCAUAUCCUAUAUCACCUCUUCUAGAUGCUACCAUAUUAGAUAUCAUUGUACCUGAGAUCGCCCCACCAUUUACCACCUUACCAUCACCUACACCUCUUCCCGUAAAGACUACCAUGCAUCAUACCCUUACACAUGUUACACAGUUAGAUGUAUGCCCACCUAGGCGAUGCCGUGGUCCAUGUAGAUGUCGAGUCUUGCCUCCAUUAGCUCCAUCUCGACAUGACAGAUUGUACAGAUAGAUUCGACAAAGAUGUCUUUGUAUCAUAGGCGUCUGCAAAGAAAGAGGAAGACCCCAUCAUGUGGCACUCAUUAAGGACUGUUUUUUAGUUUUUAUGUUUAUUUUCAUUUGCAUUAUAUUGUUAAAUUUUUUUAUUAUGAACAAUUAUUAUAUAUUUAAAUGAAAAUAUGAUCAAUUUUAAACUUAAAUUGAACUUAUAUAUAUAUAUAUAUAUAUAUAUAUAUAUAUAUAUAUAUAUGUGUGUGUGCGUGUGUGUGUGUGUGUGUGUGUGAUAUUAUAUAUCACUUACAUAUAACAAUCUGACAAUCUAAAAAAAUUGGUUUUAGGUUUAAAUUUAAAUUAAUUAUAUUUAUAACUAAUUAGUUACAACAACAACACUAUACUGAUAUAGAAAAAAUAAUGCAUUAAAAAAAAUUUACAAUCUAAACCUCCAAUCAAAAUAAUUCUUAAACUAAUACUACUUACUAACUUGAACAUUCGCAUGAUUUGAAAUUUGAACUUAAAAAAAUUGGUUUUAGAUUUAAAUUUAAAGUUAUGAUCACCAACUACUGUUUUGACCAUUUUUAAAAAAAUUCAAAAACCGUGAUUACCAAUUAUGGUUUUGUGAUGUGAAUACCCACAUGAAUAAGACAUACAUCACAUUGAAAAUUAUUUUGAGAAUGAAAUUAAUUUAUGAAUUUUUUGUUUUAGAGAAAUCAUUUUUGCCCAAAACUCCUGUUAGUACCUAAUAAGGAACAUUUUUUUUUCUUAUUCUCAAUGAAUUUACAAAAAUAUUCCAAAAGAAUUUUCAUCUAUUUUGCCAAAAUAGUUAAAACUAAAUAGUGAAUUGAUUGGAAAAACAAAGGUAUUUUCUUUCUAGAAUUCUAUAUUUUAAGAAGUGGAAAAACAAAUUCUAUUAGGUUGGCAUUUAAAGUUUAAAAUUUUAAGCCUUUCCAUUCCAUUUUGAUCCCAUUUUGAAAGGAAAAAAUGGAAAAAAAAAUAUUUUUGUUGUAUUUAAGUAAUUUUCUAAUCAUUUACCUACUUGAAGUCAUAUUAUAUUUUGUACAAAUGCAUAAUUGGCUUUAAUUUUUGCACAAAGUUACAAAAUAAUAUUAUAUUCUUCAUUAUGAGGGUAUGAAAUAGUAUAUUUAUAACUAAUUAUAUUUAUAUUGAGUAUAGUGCCAAUUAUUUUAAUAAAAUUAAACAAAAAUAUUUUUAUAUCAAAUUAAAGACAUCAAUUAUUUAAUUUCAUAUAUUACUAUUCUUUAAAUAAUGAGAUCAAUUAAAGUUAAAUAUUUUUAUUAAACUACUCACAUAUUUUUGGUAAAUAUAAAAUUAAAAUAAUAUAAUAUUUUUAUUUUAAAAAGUUAAAGUUAAAUAUUUUAAAUCAAGCAACAUAGUUAUAUAUAUAUAUAUAUAUAUAUAUAUAUAUAUAUAUAUAUAUAUAUAUAUAUAUAUAUUAAAGUUAAAACCGUAGUUGGUGACUACGACUUUGAUUAUUUUUAAAGUAGUCAAAGUCGUAGUCACCAACUACAGUUUUAGAAUUAAAGUUAAAGUCAUAGUCACCAACUACGAUUUUAAACUAAAAGUUAAAACCGUGGUUGAUAACUACGGUUUUGUGAUGUGGCAAUUUACAUGGCACAAGCACACUAGAUUGGACAUUAUUUUGAAAACCGGUUUACUUUAUGGAUUUUUUUUUUAAAUUUUACAUUUUGGGUCAAAACUCUUAAAAUUUAAUGGUAGAUGAACCGAGUCCAUACAACUCAUUCUUGGGAUUUUCUAGGAAUAGACUCUAUUCUCCAGUAUAACCAAUCGCCAACAGCCUUGUCUUCUCAUAAUUUUGCUCAAUAUUUUAUUUUAGCUUCAAUUUUUUUUGUUUAUUUAUCCAUGCAUCCGUGAUUUUUUUUUUUUUUGGAAUUUAUAAGACAUCAAAGGCGAAGUUAACUUGGGUGCUACUAAAAAAUCUUUGCCUAUGGAUCCAUCAAUUUAUGGGCCAACAAUUUUGGAAUCAAAAUUAGGACUAGGUGGUGCAGGUAAUUGCCUCACCCUGCAUAAAAACUAGGAGAUAUUUUUAUAUGGACAUAUUUUUUAUGGUACUAUGAGCAAAAUAAUGUUUGAUGUUAUUUCCUUUUUUGUAAAGACCAUAUGGGUCAACAGUGGUGUUAGAGGAAUAACAUAGAAUAAAUUGGGCACCUUCUAUAGAAUAAAUUGGGCACCUUCUAUUUUUGGUUGAGAUAAAUGAUAACAGCUAAAAUUUAAUAUAAGAGGAGGGCUAAUGGCCUUGAUCUAAGGCUUGAAAAUCUCGUAUGAAAAUUUCAAGACUAUUUAUGGCUUUUUCUUAGGAGGUUUUCUAGUCACUUAGAUGUGUUUAAUGGCCUUAAUACAGUCUCAUAGUCUCUUUUAUCUUCUAAAUCUUGCCAAUUUUCAUAUGUUCCACCCAUGAACAUCACUAGCUUAUUAUGAGCCUAACAAAGAAUUAAAGAUAAGGCCUCUGACUUAUGGUUACAGUAAAUCAAAUCCCAAGAAUAGCCCAAGUAGAGUCUAAAUCAAGUAGAGUUGAAGUAUUGAAAAUUUUAAAACUAUUUAGUUUGAGACUCCUUAAGGAUGCAAAUAAUGCCUUAAAUCUCUGGACCAGAACUAGCCCAUGAUGACUUUGUUUUAACCCUCAUAACUUCUCCCUUUCUAGUUCUAUCUCCCACUACUGGAUCCUAUUCCUAAAUUUUAAGGUCAACCAAACAAUAGGGAAUUUGAAACCCACCAAAUAAGAAAAAGAUCAUAAUACUUAGGACCACUAAUGAAACCCGCCAACUCUAUUUUAUUAUAGAGGAAUGGGUUCAUGGAGUGACUCACAUUGUAGAGAAAAUUCUGAUAUCAUUUUCUGGAGUUCUACCCCAUCCAAUUGACAGGUCAAACAUGCACGCUUUAGCAUUACUUUUCUCUAUUUUCUAGGCAACCAAACAUUCCCAGAAUUUGGAGAAUGAUGUAAAAACCGAAAGCAACCCCACACCUUCAAUCUCAUACCUUAAGAUAAAGCCCUAUUCAUUGGCCCUUGAAAAAUGGAGUACUCUGAUUUUUUCUGUUCUUAUAACAAUAAUCAGUGCUCAUUUUCUUCAUUUUUGGAGUUCUUAAGAGUGGCCCGCUUCAUUUUUGGAGUUUUUAACAGUGGUCCCCUCCAUUUUUGGUAUCUUUAACAAAAAAAAAAAUUUUAUGGUGGUCCUCCAUUCCAUAUUCGUUUUCUUUACCAAAACAAAUUUUUUUCUUUUUGCCAAGCUCAUAAUGAAAAUAAAAUAAAAUAAAAAAUCCAAACACAUCUUUACCAAACUCAAGAUGAAAAUAAAAUCAGAAACCAAACACAUCUACAACAACAAACUAAAAUACGUGAAAACCAAACAAAUUUACAAAAAAAAAAAAAAAUUAAAAUUAAAAUUUACGUAAACUAAAAAACUCAUAAAUCUUACCUAACCAAUGAUGUAACAAGAUGAAAAUUUGGAAAAUAUUGAAUUUGAGCCAAUGAUGAACCAAAGACAACUAGAUGCAACGAGAGACAACGAGAAUGAUGAAUAAGAAGGCAAAACCCUAAAGGUAAGAAACCUAACCGAAAAAGGAAAGGAACUGAAAAGGAUUCAAAACCGUAAUUGGUAACUAUUGUUUUGACCGAUUUAAAAAAAAUCAAAAUCGUAAUUGGUGACUAUAGUUUCUUGACCUAGACUUCUACGUGGCAUAGACGCACUAGAUUGGGCAUUAUUUUGGAAAUUGGUUUACUUUUUUUUUUUUUUUUUUUAAUAUCCUAUUUUGGGUCAAAACUCCAAUUUUAAUGAUUUCAAGACCCACAAAAUAAUUCUCCUUUAAAAAAUAAAAAUAAAAAUAAAGGACAGUGAUAAGAUUGAUGGUGUCACCUAUAUUUAUUCAUUAUUUAUUUAUUUUUAUAUUAAUUUUUAUCAUAUUAAUAUUUAUCAUGUAUUAUUCUAAUUAUUUUAUAUUUAAAAUAUUUAUAAAUAAUUAAAAUAAAAAGAUGUUAGAGUGAAAAAGAAAAUUAAAAUUAUUUUAUAAGAACGCGUAACUAACAUAUUAAAAAAAGUUAAAAAAAGCUAAAAUGAAGAAAGAGGAAAAAAAUAAAAUAAUACGAGAUGUUGAUUUACUACAUGUCAAACUUAAAACAAUUAACAAGUAAGAUUAGAAAUUAGAAAAAGAAAAAUCAUGUGACAUGGUUGAUUGUCACCUGUCUUUUUUAGAAUAACCUCGAUGAGCUCUUUGAUUUGUCAUGUUAGACCAAAAAAGGAAAAAAAGAAAAUUAUGGUAGUUGGGGACAGGUUAUGAAGAAGAGAAAAGUUGGUGGGAAAUUUUACAAUUUUUUUUAAUCAUAUUAGUGUUGGAGUGCAUGUUUAUAGAAUUAUUUUAUAAAAUUUUAAAAUAAAAAAAAUUAGGUAGUACAGUUUUGCAUAAUUCUUUCAAAGUAAUUAUUCUUGGAAAAAAAAUGAAGGACCGUGAUCGGAUUGGUGGUGUUAGAUGCAAAACUAGCCCUUACAUUCAAAUACAAAUCUUUGAAUAAGUAAUGUAUAUUCUGAAAUAAACCUGUCCAGUAAUAGGGACCUUGAGGAGCUUUAUUUGUAAGUAUAAGGUCAUUUAAAACUUAACUCAUCAAAUUCAACCUCUUUAUGGAUAUUAGUAUAGAGUUAGGGAGACUUAUUCAAGAAAUUACACUUUUUAAUUUAGGCUACAUUUGGUUGGUAGGAUAGAAUAAG
rnacentral:lncRNA from 1 species